UUGAUGCCAUAUAAUUAAAUAUAAAGUAGUAUAAAGUAUAAAGCAUAACAUUACAGGAAUCAUAGGAAGUGUAGAACCACCAAUCCUCCCAGCUCCACUCCCACCAUCAG